rnacentral:rRNA from 1 species
AGUCGAACGGCAGCGCGGGGCAACCUGGCGGCGAGUGGCGAACGGGUGAGUAAUAUAUCGGAACGUACCCUGGAGUGGGGGAUAACGUAGCGAAAGUUACGCUAAUACCGCAUACGAUCUAAGGAUGAAAGUGGGGGAUCGCAAGACCUCAUGCUCCUGGAGCGGCCGAUAUCUGAUUAGCUAGUUGGUGGGGUAAAGGCUCACCUAGGCUUCGAUCAGUAGCUGGUCUGAGAGGACGACCAGCCACACUGGAACUGAGACACGGUCCAGACUCCUACGGGAGGCAGCAGUGGGGAAUUUUGGACAAUGGGCGCAAGCCUGAUCCAGCAAUGCCGCGUGAGUGAAGAAGGCCUUCGGGUUGUAAAGCUCUUUUGUCAGGGAAGAAACGGUGAGGGCUAAUAUCUCUUGCUAAUGACGGUACCUGAAGAAUAAGCACCGGCUAACUACGUGCCAGCAGCCGCGGUAAUACGUAGGGUGCAAGCGUUAAUCGGAAUUACUGGGCGUAAAGCGUGCGCAGGCGGUUUUGUAAGUUUGUCGUGAAAGCCCCGGGCUCAACCUGGGAAUUGCGAUGAAGACUGCAAGGCUUGAAUCUGGCAGAGGGGGGUAGAAUUCCACGUGUAGCAGUGAAAUGCGUAGAGAUGUGGAGGAACACCGAUGGCGAAGGCAGCCCCCUGGGUCAAGAUUGACGCUCAUGCACGAAAGCGUGGGGAGCAAACAGGAUUAGAUACCCUGGUAGUCCACGCCCUAAACGAUGUCUACUAGUUGUCGGGUUUUAAUUAACUUGGUAACGCAGCUAACGCGUGAAGUAGACCGCCUGGGGAGUACGGUCGCAAGAUUAAAACUCAAAGGAAUUGAC